AACCAUUCUCACCUGCGGCUAGACCUGCGGAAGGAUCAUUACAGAGUGUUUAACCCCCUAUAAAAUGGUGGGUCUAACCUCCCGUCCUUUGCUGGGUCCCCCUUCUGGAGGACUUUCAAAACUUUCUGCUUCGGCGGGGUAUACCCGCCGGAACACCCUCAAAAAAUUCUUGAUCAAAAUGGUUCGGUCCGAGAAACUUUUUGUGAAAAUUAGCGAAAAACUUUUAACAAUGGAUCUCAG
rnacentral:misc_RNA from 1 species